rnacentral:lncRNA from 1 species
AUUAGUUUUAAAAAUUGCAAAAAUAUAUGGUUUUAAUGUCUUUAAACAAACUGGUUAAUUUAUAACACAGAAAAUUGAUGUGUUGCAAAUGAAAUCUUGCAAAAUAGUUGACGGAGUUACAUUGUUUACCUGUUGAAAAGCCAUGUGACAAAGUUUACUAAACUUUAGACCCUUUGUUUGUACAUCACCCGAGUUGAACUUUGAUAAAUGCAAGCUUGUUUUUAUCAUUCAUGACUAUGAAAUACAUUGCAAAUGAAAUACAGAUUUACUUUUUAAUAAAUAUUGCCGCAAUUUAGCGCCCAAAUUCUAUUUUCAAACAAUUAAACCGCGGUAAUUAAUCCGCACAAUAAUGGGAACAAUGGCUUUUGUUCCUCUUUGUAAUUUAAAUUUCCAAACUUAUGAGACAAAAG